rnacentral:rRNA from 1 species
AUUGAACGCUGGCGGCAGGCCUAACACAUGCAAGUCGAGCGGAUGACGGGAGCUUGCUCCUUGAUUCAGCGGCGGACGGGUGAGUAAUGCCUAGGAAUCUGCCUGGUAGUGGGGGACAACGUUUCGAAAGGAACGCUAAUACCGCAUACGUCCUACGGGAGAAAGCAGGGGACCUUCGGGCCUUGCGCUAUCAGAUGAGCCUAGGUCGGAUUAGCUAGUUGGUGGGGUAAUGGCUCACCAAGGCGACGAUCCGUAACUGGUCUGAGAGGAUGAUCAGUCACACUGGAACUGAGACACGGUCCAGACUCCUACGGGAGGCAGCAGUGGGGAAUAUUGGACAAUGGGCGAAAGCCUGAUCCAGCCAUGCCGCGUGUGUGAAGAAGGUCUUCGGAUUGUAAAGCACUUUAAGUUAGGAGGAAGGGCAGUAAGCUAAUACCUUGCUGUUUUGACGUUACCGACAGAAUAAGCACCGGCUAACUCUGUGCCAGCCGCCGCUGUAAGAC